rnacentral:rRNA from 1 species
GUGGGGAAUAUUGGACAAUGGGCGCAAGCCUGAUCCAGCCAUGCCGCGUGAGUGAUGAAGGCCUUAGGGUUGUAAAGCUCUUUCAGUGGGGACGAUAAUGACGGUACCCACAGAAGAAGCCCCGGCUAACUUCGUGCCAGCAGCCGCGGUAAUACGAAGGGGGCUAGCGUUGUUCGGAUUUACUGGGCGUAAAGCGCACGUAGGCGGAUCGUUAAGUCGGGGGUGAAAUCCUGGAGCUCAACUGCAGAACUGCCUUCGAUACUGGCGAUCUUGAGUCCGGAAGAGGUGAGUGGAACUCCUAGUGUAGAGGUGGAAUUCGUAGAUAUUAGGAAGAACACCAGUGGCGAAGGCGGCUCACUGGUCCGGUACUGACGCUGAGGUGCGAAAGCGUGGGGAGCAAACAGGAUUAGAAACCCGGGUAGUCC